GGAUUUGUAGCUCAGUGGUAGAGCAGCCGAUUGCAGAUCGGCAGGUCUCGUGUUCGAACCACGACAGGUCCU
rfam:Coniochaeta ligniaria NRRL 30616 unplaced genomic scaffold CONLIGscaffold_10, whole genome shotgun sequence.